AAAAAGCCAGACAUAAUUACAUAUAUCAGUUCAAAUCCUAGCCUGCAGUGCUGAUUUUCACGGUUGUUUGAUAAUUUUCAGCAAAUACAUUCUGAGCAUGAAAUCUUUCACACCCAGAUUGAUUUGACGUAAUCAUAACAAAAUGAAGACACGUCUUUAUUUUAUGAUCCUCAUGCUUGCUACUAUCUGCUUAUGUUUCAUGUCAGUGUUAUCCCAUUUAUACCAUUAUGCAUAAUGAUGAGCAUACCUCCCAAGUGUCUCUAUUUAGGAUGGACAGUCCCUAUUUUUUGUCUCAAAUCACUAUAUCCCUUUUUUCUAUCACAUUGUCCCUCUUUUCUCGGAGCUUCAUAUUGUU